ACAGAAGGAUUGAAGAGCCUGACAG
rnacentral:piRNA from 1 species